rnacentral:tRNA from 1 species
UUAGUUGAAGCUAAAGUAGGCAGCACUUCACUGUUAAUGGAGUUUAGAGUAAUUACUCCAACUAAG